rnacentral:piRNA from 1 species
UGGGGACGCAAAGCAUCAACCAGAGUCCAC